rnacentral:rRNA from 1 species
GAAUUCCCCCUUAGAGUUUGAUCCUGGCUCAAAAUCAACGCUGGCGGCGCGCUUAACACAUGCAAGUCGAACGAGAAAGGGGAGCACUCCCCGAGUAAAGUGGCGUACGGGUGAGUAACACGUGGGUGAUCUACCUCUUGGUGGGGAAUAACCCUGGGAAACCGGGGCUAAUACCGCAUAAGCUCGCCACUUAGGGUGGUGAGGAAAGGUGCAAAUCGCCGAGAGAGGAGCCCGCGGCCGAUUAUCUAGUUGAUGAGGUAAAGGCUCACCAUGGCAAAGAUCGGUAGCCGGCCUGAGAGGGCACACGGCCACACUGGCACUGAAACACGGGCCAGACUCCUACGGGAGGCAGCAGUGGGGAAUCUUGCACAAUGGGGGAAACCCUGAUGCAGCGACGCCGCGUGAGCGAUGAACCCCUUCGGGGUGUAAAGCUCUUUCGACGGGAACGAUAACGACGGUACCCGGAGAAGAAGCUGCGGCUAACUACGUGCCAGCAGCCGCGGUAAUACGUAGGCAGCAAGCGUUGUUCGGAGUUACUGGGCGUAAAGAGUGCGUAGGCGGCGAUCUAAGUCUGGUGUGAAAUCUCCCGGCUCAACUGGGAGGGUGCGCCAGAAACUGGGUUGCUAGAGUGUGAGAGAGGUAAGCGGAAUUCCUGGUGUAGCGGUGAAUGCGUACAUAUCAGGAGGAACACCGGUGGUGUAGACGGCUUACUGGAC